GUAGUGAACUAUAUUGAAGAAAUUUGGUAUAGGGAACUAUGAAUUUUACCUUGAGAAAAUUAGAGUGUUCAAAGCAGGCCUACGCCGGAAUACAUUAGCAUGGAAUAAUAAAAUAGGACGAGUGAUUCUAUUUUGUUGGUUUAUAGAACCACNGUAAUGAUUAAUAGGAACAGUUGGGGGCAUUAGUAUUCAGUUGCUAGAGGUGAAAUUCUUGGAUUUACUGAAGACUAACUACUGCGAAAGCAUUUGCCAAGGAUGUUUUCAUUAAUAAAGGACGAUGGUUGGGGGAUCGAAAAUGAUUAGAUACCGUUGUAGUCCCAACAGUAAACUAUGCCG
rnacentral:rRNA from 1 species